ACGGAGGGUGCAAGCGUUAUCCGGAUUUAUUGGGUUUAAAGGGUCCGUAGGCGGACUGAUAAGUCAGUGGUGAAAUCCGACAGCUUAACUGUCGAACUGCCAUUGAUACUGUUAGUCUUGAGUAAGGUUGAAGUGGCUGGAAUAAGUAGUGUAGCGGUGAAAUGCAUAGAUAUUACUUAGAACACCAAUUGCGAAGGCAGGUCACUAAGUCUUAACUGACGCUGAUGGACGAAAGCGUGGGGAGCGAACAG
rnacentral:rRNA from 1 species